UCCCAUGAAAGAGACUGUCAUAAAGGCAUCGAGACACCUACAAUAUAAACAAAGUAGGUAGUCAGGUAGUUGGUCACAUCAUACGAAAAUGACAAAUGUAAUGUCAUGUCAUGUUUGAUGUUAUUAAAGAAACAAAUCUCAUGGUUACAUCUCACUCAGACUGGGAAAACAUGUAUGUUUCAGUAACAUGGUUCUUAAACAAUUCAAAAAUAAACAAAUAAAGUGAAAAGGCUGUCAUGUGAAUGGUGAUUUUAUUGUCAUUUCUGUUUUAUAAUUUUCAUUUUCCUUAGUAUUGACAGUAGAGAGCAUAAAAUGCCACUACGGCUAUCUAACUCACUUUAAAACUUUAAAACAAAGUUCUUUCAGCAUGUACAAAAGGAUCAUCUCAGUUAACGGGGUUAGAAAUGACAGUUCAGUUCAUAGUAACAACUAGCAAAAGCAGCAUGGAAAAACAGUAGCUUGCACAACCUUUUGAAUAGUAAAACAAGACCUUCAUAGAGAACCAGUCAUUAAUUUAUGGCUAGCAACUGUUCCUUUCACAGUUCUCUUUGAGAAAACAUGACAUCAAUCCACUGAAUCAACCAAUCAAACUGCAGCCAAAAUCUGAAAGUUCUUACAUCAAUCAGCAUUACCUAAUAACUGGGAUCAAUAAAAAUCAUUCCAGCAUAUGAAAGCAUUUAGAAUCAUAUAAGUCUCUCCUUUCCACUCUCUUCUUCAGACCAUUACCUAUACACACUUCUUCUUUCCUUAUCAAGCUCGGUCAAAACCAUAUAACAUUCUUGCCACCAUAGCACCACGCUAUUUUGAUGCAGAAACCACUUUCAGAUUUGAAAGCAUUUAGAAUCAUAUGAGUCUCUCCUUUCCUCUCUCUUCUUCAGACCAUUACCUAUACACAUUUCUUCUUUCUUUAUCAAGCUCGGUCAAAACCAUAUAACAUUCUUGCAACCAUAGCACCACACUCUUUUGAUGCAGAAACCACUUUCAGAUUUGAAAGCAUUUAGAAUCAUAUGAGUCUCUCCUUUCCUAUCUCUUCUUCAGACCAUUACCUAUACACAUCUCUUCUUUCCUUAUCAGGCUCGGUCAAAAUCAUAUAACAUUCUUGCCACCAUAGCACCACACUCUUUUGAUGCAGAAACCAAUUUCAGAUUUGAAAUUUUCAACCUAUCACCAGAGACACUGUUGAAGUUGAACAUCGAACACCUAUGGAUGUUUCUACUUUCAUAAUCAAGCUUCAUCACAACAAUGUGUUGUUCUUCCCACCAUACCACCACCUCACAUUUUAUUUCGUUAAUUGAACACCAUUGAUGAUCUUCUGCAGAGUCCAGAUGAGUUAUAUAACCCCCCCCCCCUUCUUUUUGGAACAAUGAGCACGAACGU